rnacentral:rRNA from 1 species
AACCUGGUUUGAUCCUGCCAGUAGUCAUAUGCUUGUCUCAAAGGUUAAGCCAUGCAUGUGUAAGUAUAAGCAAUUGUUUUGAUUAUAGUUAAACUGCGAAUGGCUCAUUAUAUCAGUAAUAAUUUAUUUGGAGAGUCAGUCUUUGCUACGGUAUAACUGUAGUAAUUCUAGAGCUAAUACGUGCAAGUGGGUAUGAUUCAGUUAAAGUGGCGGUUUUGUUUUGUAAGCGGAGUUCUUAGGCAGUGUUUUAUGCAAUUAUUAGCUUUCUGACUAACUUGAUGGUAGCCUAAGUUGAUAGGUUGUUAACAAUUUUGUUGAAUUCUAGUAUUUCAGGCUAAUCGAUGUUUUUCGAAACAUCGGUUGUUCAUUCAGAUUUCUGCCCUAUCAGCUAGAUGGCAAUGCAUUGGAUUGCCCUGGCUGUAACGGGUGACGGGGAAUUAGGGUUUGGUUCCGGAGAGGCAGCCUGAGAAACGGCUACCACAUCUAAGGAAGGCAGCAGGCGCGCAAAUUACCCAAUCCUGAUUCUGGGAGGUAGUGACAAGGAAUAACAAUACCGGGUCUUUUUAGGUCUGGUAAUUGGAAUGAGAACAAUUUAAAUAUCUUAUCGAGGAUCAAGUGGAGGGCAAGUCUGGUGCCAGCAGCCGCGGUAAUUCCAGCUCCAUUAGCGUAUAUUAAUAUUGUUGCAGUUAAAAAGCUCGUAGUUGGAUUUCUGGAGGAUACGCGUGGCGUACAUUGCUGAUGGAAUCUUGCUGUUUUGUAGGUUCUUAAGCAAUGUGCAGUCAUUGUGAGUCGUCUAUCGAUGUAAGACAAAGUGUAAUAUUCUACCUUUUUUUUGUAUGGGUAGGAAAUUUUCGUUAAGUUUACAUAUGUUACUGUGAAAAAAUGAGGGUGUUCAAAGCAGGCAAUUGUCGUGGAUCUAUUAGCAUGGAAUAAUAUAAUAGGAUGUCGGUUCUAUUUUGUUGGUUAUAUCGGACAGACAUAAUGGUUAAUAGGGAUAGUUGGGGGUGCUAGUAUUCAGUGGCCAGAGGUGAAAUUCUCAGAUUCACUGAAGACUGCCUUCUGCGAAAGCAUUCACCAAGGAUGUCUUCAUUAAUCAAGAACGAAAGUUGGGGGAUCGAAGACGAUCAGAUACCGUCGUAGUCCCAACCGUAAACGAUGCCAGCCGGAGGUCGACUCGACGUGUCGAAAUCCGGCCUCGCCGGAACCCAAUGCGCAAGCGUAAGCUAUUAGGUUCCGGGGGGAGUAUGGUCGCAAGUCUGAAACUUAAAGGAAUUGACGGAAGGGCACCACCAGCAGUGGAGCCUGCGGCUUAAUUUGACUCAACUCGAGGAAACUUACCAGGUCCAGACAUAUUGAGGAUUGACAGAUGGAAGAUCUUUCGUGAUUAUAUGGAUAGUGGUGCAUGGCCGUUCUUAGUUGGUGGAGUAAUUUGUCUGGUUAAUUCCGAUAACGAACGAGACCUUGACCUACUAGUUAGUUUAGUAAAUAUUCGUGCAUUAUUGACCGUGCUUUUGAAUGACUCGCAAGCUUCUUAGAGGGACUAUCGGUUCUUAGCAAGCCGGGGGAAGUAACAAGGCAAUAACAGGUCUGUGAUGCCCUCAGAUGUUCUGGGCUGCACGCGCGCUACAAUGGUCAGUACAGCUUGUCCGGACCGAAUCGAAAGGUUUGAGUAAUCACUAAUACUGAUCGUGCUUGGGAUAGAUGGUUGGUACAGCUGUCUUUAACAAGGAAUUCCUAGUAUGCGCAGCUUAAUAUUUUGCAUCGAAUACGUCCCUGCCCUUUGUACACACCGCCCGUCGCUACUACCGAUUGAGUGCUUUAGUGAGCUCUACGGACUUGUUUUUAAUUGUGUGUUGAAUUGCACCAGUCUAGAUUGGAAGUGGAACAAACUUGUUCAUUUAGAGGAAGUAAAAGUCGUAACAAGGUUUUCGUA